AAAUCAUGUUGAGGACAAUAUCUUAAAAGUCCCAUGUAUCUUUCCCAAGCUUUAUAUAGGGACUCUCCAUCUUCUUGUUGAAAAUUAGAAUUUUUUUUAAUUUU